GGCGGUAUGCUUAACACAUGCAAGUCGAACGGUGCUUUCGGGCACAGUGGCGGACGGGUGAGUAACGCGUGAGAAUCUGGCUUCAGGUCUGGGACAACCACUGGAAACGGUGGCUAAUACCGGAUGUGCCGAGAGGUGAAAGGUUAACUGCCUGAAGAUGAGCUCGCGUCUGAUUAGCUAGUUGGAAGUGUAAUGGACUCCCAAGGCGACGAUCAGUAGCUGGUCUGAGAGGACGAUCAGCCACACUGGGACUGAGACACGGCCCAGACUCCUACGGGAGGCAGCAGUGGGGAAUUUUCCGCAAUGGGCGAAAGCCUGACGGAGCAAUACCGCGUGAGGGAGGAAGGCUCUUGGGUCGUAAACCUCUUUUCUCAGGGAAGAACACAAUGACGGUACCUGAGGAAUAAGCAUCGGCUAACUCCGUGCCAGCAGCCGCGGUAAUACGGAGGAUGCAAGCGUUAUCCGGAAUGAUUGGGCGUAAAGCGUCCGCAGGUGGCUAUGUAAGUCUGCUGUUAAAGAGUCUAGCUCAACUAGAUAAGAGCAGUGGAAACUACAAGGCUAGAGUACGUUCGGGGCAGAGGGAAUUCCUGGUGUAGCGGUGAAAUGCGUAGAGAUCAGGAAGAACACCGGUGGCGAAGGCGCUCUGCUAGGCCGUAACUGACACUGAGGGACGAAAGCUAGGGGAGCGAAUGGGAUUAGAUAC
rnacentral:rRNA from 1 species